CUCGGUCACCCAGGAUAGAGUGCAGUGGUGAGAUCAUGGCUCACAGCAGCCUCGACCUCAUGGGCUCCAGCAAUCUUCCUACCUCAACGGCCCAAGUAGCUGAGACCAUAAGCAUGUGCCACCAGGCCUGGCUGCCUCGUUUUAACUUAAUCAUCUGUUUACAAACUUAUUUCUAAAUAUGGUUAUACCGUUUUUUGUUGUUGUUGAUUGUUUUUUUUUUUUUUUUUUUUUUUUUGAGAUAGAGUCUUACUCUGUAGCCCAGGCUGGAGUGCAGUGGCACCAUCUCUGCUCACUGCAACCUCCACCUCCCAGGUUCAAGCAAUUCUCCUGCCUCAGCCUCUCAAGUAGCUUGGAUUACAGGCACCCACCACCACGCCCAGCUAAUUUUUGUAUUUUAGUAGAGACGGGGUUUCGCCAUGUGGGCCAGGCUGGUCUCGAAUUCCUGACCUCAGACAGCAAGACCCCCCGCAAGACAGCAAGACCCAACUCUCUUCUUUCUCUUCCUCCUCAUCCUACUCAACAUGAAGAUGACAAGGAUGAAGACCUUCAUGAUGGUCCACUUCACUUAAUGAAUAGUAAAUAGUAAAUUUUCUCUUCCUCAUGAUGUUUGAAAUAAUAUUUUCUUUUCUCUAGCUUAUUUUAUUGUAACAAUACAGUAUACUAUACACACACAAAAUAUGUGUUAAUCAACUGUUUAUGUUAUUGGUAAGGCUUAUGGUUAACAGUGGGCUCUUAAUAGCUACACUGUGGUGGAGUCAAAAGUUAUAUACAGGGUCUCGACUGUCUGGGGGUUCGGUGCCCCUAAUCUCUGCAUUGUUCAAGGGACAACCACAGUGUUAUUUCUGUUAGACAUGUGUCAGCACCCUAUGCUGUUACUGUGACUUGCUAUUUUUUUAAAUCUCCCUUGUAACUGUAGGAUAACUCUCUGUAUAACUCUAGUGAAUCCCCAGUAAGUGCAAAUUAAAAUGGUGACCUGUAUCUUUAAAGAAAAUUAAAUCUUUAUACAUGC
rnacentral:lncRNA from 1 species